GAGCACGGACGGACGGACGGAAAAUUUUGGAGCUGGAGAAAUUAUAAAAUUUUAGAUUGGUGACUGCCUACGUUUGGAUUAAACGAAAGGUAAGAUUGAGACCUGAUAUUUUCUUUUUCUGUAGGGGUACCCUCAACUGGGUCCACACUUUGGUCAGAUUGUUGGAUACGAUAUUAUUUCAAAUGCAUUUAGAUGUGUUUGAUCGUGUCUUCCCGCUUCCAGACUCUAACGUCGUAAAUCGAUGACUGACAGCUCUGCGACCUUGUGUACAACACUCUUCUGCCUUGUGCCAUAGUUGCGUAUGGGAAUAUAAAGGAAGAGUGCACAAAUGGUCAAGGACAGUCACAACGUGACUGCUCAGGAAUCGUAGACAUAUGGUUAGAGUCGGUAAAUCUGGGAUGCUUCCUUUCGUAAUCCAACGGAUUCUUUCUGACCACUGCUGCUGGUGUCUAGACGAGUGGCCUCCUAUGGUUACAUGAAAAAAAUUUUUCCAUGGUCUCAAUAAUCAAAAGACAUCUAGAGAAGUUACUCAAAUUGAAUAUUGCAUUCACAAAAGACAAAUAUUACCUAUGAAAUUUGCGUGUCCUUCAAAAACAGGAAAUUAUAUUUGAUGGUAAGUUCGAUUAAUCCUGUUCUCCUUUUUCUUUCUCCAGCAGGUGUACCAUCGACUAGACCUUCAGCUUUUGUCAGAAUGUCGGAUACGAUGUUUUGCAAAUGCACUGAGGUGUAUUUGCUCUUUUUGUCUCCUGGCUUCCAGACUCUAGUGUCGUAAGUCGGGUGAAGGACGGAUCUGCGACCUCGUGUACAACAGUUCCCUGGCCCGUGCCAAAGAGCGAACGGCUACUGCUUCACCGCGAAAGGGGAAUUGCACUAAUGGUCAAAGACAGUCACCAGGUGACUGCUCCGGAUGCGCAGACGUCAACUAGAGUCGGUAAACCCAGAGUGCUUUAAUUCGUACUCUGACUUCACAAUUCUGACAUCUGCUGUUAGAGUCUAGAAGAUUGGACGCCUGUUCGAAUGGAAAAAAAACAGGGUUCCGAACUUCACCAAAUAUUCUAGUCGAGACUUACAGCGGUCCUACUGACGGAGUUUCAAAAUCAAACGUAAGAUGUAGUUUUAAUACAAUUUCCUAGUUUUGUAAUUUUUCUCUGAAAAAUUGAGAAAUAUUAUGAGAGCUAUAUUUUUUUUUAUAAACUUAAAUUUUAUAUUUCAUAACCAAAAAUUAGCUAAAAAAAACUUUGUAAGUAUGGCUUGAGAUGGACAUUUCAAAUUUAAUUUUAUUUCUAAGUUGUUCAUUUUUAUUCGUAUUUUUCUAUUUCGCCAAUAAUCCUACAUAAUUAUAUUUCACU